GAUGAAGAACGCAGCGAAAUGCGAUAAGUAAUGUGAAUUGCAGAAUUCAGUGAAUCAUCGAAUCUUUGAACGCACAUUGCGCCCUCUGGUAUUCCGGGGGGCAUGCCUGUCCGAGCGUCAUUGCUGCCCUCAAGCACGGCUUGUGUGUUGGGCCUCCGUCCUCCUCCCGGGGGACGGGCCCGAAAGGCAGCGGCGGCACCGCGUCCGGUCCUCGAGCGUAUGGGGCUUCGUCACCCGCUCUUGUAGGCCCGGCCGGCGCUUGCCGACACAUCAAUCUUUUUUCCAGGUUGACCUCGGAUCAGGUAGGGAUACCCGCUGAACUUAAGCAUAUCAAUAGCGGAGGA
rnacentral:misc_RNA from 1 species